UCACCCUGGGGGAGUGAGUCUAAAAAAUUAAAUCAUAGUGAGAAAAAAGUCAAACAGGAUACUAGCAAAAGUCGUGAAUAAUAAAUAAAAUAAUAAAGUCGAAGACGGCCUUUUUACACAUUUUAGUGACCGAUAUCACGGUGUCACUCUAGUUAAUAUGAGAAUGUGACUCCCGACACCACUGGUCGAGGUAGCCAUGGUAACAGCAGUUGGUUAUUGAAUAACAAACAGAAAGAUAAAGUCGAGUUAAUUAUUCCAAUCGAUGCGGAAAUAGUGUUAUAUUUUGACGCCGUACCGAAGUACGGCAUAGGAGGGUAGAGACCGCCGGAAAGUAUAAGUGAAUUCAGUAACACUCAGAAUUUGAGUGAUUUUUAAAUAUAAAAUCGUAGGUCUCUACCGAAGGUGGAGGCAGAUGUAAACAUGAAAAUGUGACAAAAAUGGGCAAAAAAGCAGUAAAAGGCAGGCUGUGGAUCGAGUUGAAUAUGACCUUGAUGGACACAAAGCAAGGAUAAAAUAUGAAACAGCGACUUGGAAAAUUCAGUGUUCAUAUUUAGCUGAAGUGUAGUCGGAUCCUUCGCGCUGGUGAGCAAGCAUGCAUCAUCUGCAAAUAG